rnacentral:sRNA from 1 species
CUUUUGAGUGACUCUUUAACUUUUCUCAAAAAAUUAAAAAAAAUAAAAAAGCCAAGAAGGAAAAGGAAAAGGUAAAUCCUUGUUAUGAACUCUUCCGACUUUUUUUUACUUCAGUUUUUACCCCAAAAGGGGGGCUCGGAUUGAUCAAGGUGCAAAACAAUUGUAGGGGGAAAGGAAGCCUCCCCAGAAAAAUGGUAAUGCCAUGGGGCGUCACUGUUUGGAUGGCAAAGGUGGUGUGGUUGGCCCUCACCGGCUUGAUUUCGUCUUGCUUAGCCGUUGCCGAUGAAGUCGCCGGCUCCCUUAGAACCGGAGAUAUUGGCCCUUUGCAUGUCGGCUGAUUGAUUGUCACCGGACUCACCACUCCUAUGCUCUCUGAUGGUUAAAAUCCGUAAAUAACGGUGAAGGGACGGUGGGUGCAUGGCCUGGACAUUCAGAGCUGCUAAUUUUAUACUGUGAAUACUGUAAAUACUGUGAGUAGAUUUCUUUUAUUUUUAUUUAUUUUUUGUUUCAUAUUAAAUACCAAAGUCAUACUGGGGUUUGUGCUUUGUACUGGAAAGUUGUAUAUCUCUGGUUUGUGUUUGGAAAUCAAUAAGAUUGUUGGGUGCUAUGCUUUAAAACCAAGUCUCGUGCUCGGCAACAUUGUAUACCGAAUUUCCUAAGCUCAAACCAUAGUUUUAU